rnacentral:siRNA from 1 species
AUAGUGAAUUCGGUGUUGGUC